AACGAACGCUGGCGGCAGGCUUAACACAUGCAAGUCGAACGCAUCGCAAGAUGAGUGGCAGACGGGUGAGUAACGCGUGGGAACAUACCCUUUUCUACGGAAUAGCUCUGGGAAACUGGAAUUAAUACCGUAUACGCCCUACGGGGGAAAGAUUUAUCGGGGAAGGAUUGGCCCGCGUUGGAUUAGCUAGUUGGUGGUGUAAAGGCCUACAAGGCGACGAUCCAUAGCUGGUCUGAGAGGAUGAUCAGCCACAUUGGGACUGGGACACGGCCCCAACUCCUACGGGAGGCAGCAGUGGGGAAUAUUGGACAAUGGGCGCAAGCCUGAUCCAGACAUGCCGCGUGAGUGAUGAAGGCCUUAGGGUUGUAAAGCUCUUUCACCGAUGAAGAUAAUGACGGUAGUCGGAGAGGAAGCCCCGGCUAACUUCGUGCCAGCCGCCGCCGUAAGAC
rnacentral:rRNA from 1 species